UAGGGAAUAUUGCGCAAUGGGCGAAAGCCUGACGCAGCCAUGCCGCGUGAGUGAUGAAGGCCUUCGGGUCGUAAAGCUCUUUUCUGAGGGAAGAACAGACAUCGCAGGAAAUGGUGAUGUUUUGACGGUACCUCAGGAAUAAGGAACGGCUAACUCCGUGCCAGCAGCCGCGGUAAUACGGAGGUUCCUAGCGUUGUUCGGAAUUACUGGGCGUAAAGGGAGCGCAGGCGGAUGAUCAAGUCUAAAGUGGAAUCCCGGGGCUUAACCCCGGAAGUGCUUUGGAUACUAGUCGUCUUGAGUUCGUGGGAGGAAGGCGGAAUUCAGGGUGUAGCGGUGAAAUGCUUAGAUAUCCUGAGGAACACCGGUGGCGAAAGCGGCCUUCUGGCACGAUACUGACGCUCAUGCUCGAAAGCGUGGGGAGCGAACGGG
rnacentral:rRNA from 1 species